rnacentral:rRNA from 1 species
UACGUAGGGUGCAAGCGUUGUCCGGAUUUAUUGGGCGUAAAGAGCUCGUAGGCGGUCUGUCGCGUCGGAUGUGAAAAACCCAGGGCUCAACCCUGGGCCUGCAUUCGAUACGGGCAGACUAGAGUGUGGCAGGGGAGACUGGAAUUCCUGGUGUAGCGGUGAAAUGCGCAGAUAUCAGGAGGAACACCGGUGGCGAAGGCGGGUCUCUGGGCCAAUACUGACGCUGAGGAGCGAAAGCGUGGGGAGCGAACAGG